rnacentral:rRNA from 1 species
AGCGGCAGGCUUAAUACAUGCAAGUCGAGGGGCAUCAAGGUACACGAAAGUGUAUUGUUGGCGACCGGCGGACGGGUGAGUAAUAGGUAGGCAACCUACCUCAUACUGAGGCAUAGCUGGGAGAAAUUCCAGGUAAUUCCUCAUGAGGUUAUAUGACACAUGUGAUAUAAUCAAAGGUAUCGCAAGGUACUGGUAUGAGAUGGGCUUACUGACCAUUAGCUAGUUGGUGAGAUAAGAGCUCACCAAGGCGAAGAUGGUUAGGGGUUUUGAGAGAGAGAUCCCCCACAUUGGAACUGAGAUACGGUCCAGACUCCUACGGGAGGCAGCAGUAGGGAAUAUUGGGCAAUGGGCGGAAGCCUGACCCAGCCAUGCCGCGUGAAGGAAGACGGCCUCAUGGGUUGUAAACUUCUUUACUAUGCGACUAACUAGAUUUACGAGAUAAUUCUAUAGAAUGUAGCAUAGCAAAAAGCACCGGCUAACUCCGUG